rnacentral:rRNA from 1 species
GGCGAACGCUGGCGGCAGGCCUAACACAUGCAAGUCGAACGAACUCUUCGGAGUUAGUGGCGGACGGGUGAGUAACACGUGGGAACGUGCCUUUAGGUUCGGAAUAACUCAGGGAAACUUGUGCUAAUACCGAAUGUGCCCUUCGGGGGAAAGAUUUAUCGCCUUUAGAGCGGCCCGCGUCUGAUUAGCUAGUUGGUGAGGUAACGGCUCACCAAGGCGACGAUCAGUAGCUGGUCUGAGAGGAUGACCAGCCACACUGGGACUGAGACACGGCCCAGACUCCUACGGGAGGCAGCAGUGGGGAAUCUUGCGCAAUGGGCGAAAGCCUGACGCAGCCAUGCCGCGUGAAUGAUGAAGGUCUUAGGAUUGUAAAAUUCUUUCACCGGGGACGAUAAUGACGGUACCCGGAGAAGAAGCCCCGGCUAACUUCGUGCCAGCAGCCGCGGUAAGAC